rnacentral:rRNA from 1 species
UGGGGAAUUUUGGACAAUGGGCGAAAGCCUGAUCCAGCCAUGCCGCGUGAGUGAAGAAGGCCUUCGGGUUGUAAAGCUCUUUUAGUCGGAAAGAAAGAGUUGCAAUGAAUAAUUGUGAUUUAUGACGGUACCGACAGAAAAAGCACCGGCUAACUACGUGCCAGCAGCCGCGGUAAUACGUAGGGUGCGAGCGUUAAUCAGAAUUACUGGGCGUAAAGGGUGCGCAGGCGGUCUUGCAAGUCAGAUGUGAAAGCCCCGGGCUUAACCUGGGAAUUACGUUUGAAACUACAAGACUAGAGUGCAGCAGAGGGGAGUGGAAUUCCAUGUGUAGCAGUGAAAUGCGUAGAGAUGUGGAAGAACACCGAUGGCGAAGGCAGCUCCCUGGGUUGACACUGACGCUCAUGCACGAAAGCGUGGGGAGCAAACA